rnacentral:tRNA from 1 species
GGGCUCGUGGCGCAACGGUUAGCGCAGGGGACUCAUAAUCCCUGGGUUCCGAGUUCGAAUCUCGGCGGGCCCACCA